CCUCCCCUCAGUCCGACACCGAGAUCCUGCUGAAGAUGGGCAGCCGCCAGCCCUGCUCGAUUACGGGCGACUUGGAACCGCUGAUGCUGGAGUCGUCCUGGUCGGAGAGAGAGUGGGGGGACAGACUCCUG